GGGGCUGAUUCUGGAUUCGACGGGAUUUGCGAAACCCAAGGUGCAUGCCGAGGGGCGGUUGGCCUCGUAAAAAGCCGCAAAAAAUAGUCGCAAACGACAAAAACUACGCUUUAGCAGCUUAAUAACCUGCUUAGAGCCCUCUCUCCCUAGCCUCCGCUCUUAGGACGGGGAUCAAGAGAGGUCAAACCCAAAAGAGAUCGCGUGGAAGCCCUGCCUGGGGUUGAAGCGUUAAAACUUAAUCAGGCUAGUUUGUUAGUGGCGUGUCCGUCCGCAGCUGGCAAGCGAAUGUAAAGACUGACUAAGCAUGUAGUACCGAGGAUGUAGGAAUUUCGGACGCGGGUUCAACUCCCGCCAGCUCCACCA
rnacentral:tmRNA from 2 species